UGGGGAAUUUUGGACAAUGGGCGCAAGCCUGAUCCAGCCAUGCCGCGUGCGGGAAGAAGGCCUUCGGGUUGUAAACCGCUUUUGUCAGGGAAGAAAAGGUUCUGGUUAAUACCUGGGACUCAUGACGGUACCUGAAGAAUAAGCACCGGCUAACUACGUGCCAGCAGCCGCGGUAAUACGUAGGGUGCAAGCGUUAAUCGGAAUUACUGGGCGUAAAGCGUGCGCAGGCGGUUAUGCAAGACAGAGGUGAAAUCCCCGGGCUCAACCUGGGAACUGCCUUUGUGACUGCAUAGCUAGAGUACGGUAGAGGGGGAUGGAAUUCCGCGUGUAGCAGUGAAAUGCGUAGAUAUGCGGAGGAACACCGAUGGCGAAGGCAAUCCCCUGGACCUGUACUGACGCGCAUGCACGAAAGCGUGGGGAGCAAACAGG
rnacentral:rRNA from 1 species